GGCGCCGGCGUCGGCGCGGAGAGAGGGUACGUGUGGGGCGGCGAGGAGUCCGGCGGGGUGGUGGUGAGCGGGGAGAAGGUGGCGGAGAGGGUGCGCGCCACCCUGGCCGACAAGGGGCUCCGGCAGAGGGCGGAGGAGGUCGGCGAGCGCGCGCGGCGCGCGGUGGAGACGGGCGGAUCGUCGUACGGCGCCGUCGGCGCGCUGAUGGACGAUGUGCUGCGCCGGCGCCGGCGUCGGGAGAUAGCGGCAGCAGAAGAACCAGGGGACGUAGUGAAAGCAUGAACUCAACUUAUUCAUGGCGCAUUUAACUUUUGGCCACUCUUACGAUUGAAUUGAUAACGAACUUGUCACUCUAUCAUCACUUGUACACAAAAAGUUAACUAUUUAACUGUUCCGUGUUCACAGGAUAUGGGGCAAAUUGAAUGAGCGGAGAAGGCAAAUAUACUUGUAUUCGGGCAUUCUCAAAUGGUGUCUAUAGCAUUAAAUAAGUUGUCACAUAGGAUGAAAAAUGAUGUGGCAAGUGAAUAAAUAAGGAAAGAGAAUGAAACCAUGUCUUGCAUGAGACAUGUUUUCUACACAACAUCUAAGAUAUUAUGUGAGAUAAGUAGCAUUAAAUUUAAGUGUAGAACAGUGGUGUAUGUAUUAGAAGAGUAGUGUUUAGUACUAGUUUCUUGAUGAUGGGAAGUUUAUAGAAAACAUAUCUAGUGUUAUGGGUUGAGAAUACCCUUCUACCGAAUGUCUUACCUAGCACGGAAACGUAAUAAUAGAUUAAUAC
rnacentral:lncRNA from 1 species